UACGUAGGUGGCGAGCGUUAUCCGGAAUCAUUGGGCGUAAAGAGGGAGCAGGCGGCCGCAAGGGUCUGUGGUGAAAGACCGAAGCUAAACUUCGGUAAGCCAUGGAAACCGGGCGGCUAGAGUGCGGAAGAGGAUCGUGGAAUUCCAUGUGUAGCGGUGAAAUGCGUAGAUAUAUGGAGGAACACCAGUGGCGAAGGCGAUGGUCUGGGCCGCAACUGACGCUCAUUCCCGAAAGCGUGGGGAGCAAAUAGG
rnacentral:rRNA from 1 species